rnacentral:misc_RNA from 1 species
AUCGGUGAUACACUUCCUCCUUGUCGGCGUCACCUUCUCAUCAGAGUUCCUUUUCGACGCUGCGCUUUCCGUAACAAAGGGGCUGCCCCGGUGUAGUCGGGCACUGUCGGCGCCCUUGAGAGGCGCACGCUUACUCCCGUCGGUUUGUGUGUAGCAUACAAACUUCUCUUUUCAGUUUGUGCAAUUUACCUUCACUGGUUGUAGCAACACGCGGUAAUGCUACGCCGCCCGCCUCAGCUCCUGCGUCUGCGGCUUGCGGGGGUAUUUGCCUGCACCGCUGCACUGUACGGUCGCACCGGUGCUUUUCACCCCUUCUCGCAAAAAGAUGAGGAUGACCUGCUGCAGGUGGUGAAGACAAAGCCCCGCCACGUCCUCCGGCACGUGCGUCAGCAGGUGUGGCGCUCUCGCAAGCGAGAACUGCAGUUCCGCAACACAGUGACGCACCUGAUGAUUAUCCUGCAGGAGUUCCUCCGCAAGCAGCUCAUCGACCCAACACAUGCAUCUCAGAUCAUGGAGGGCAUUCUGGAAGAAUGUGUCAAGUACGGCCAGCACGAUAUGGCGCACCUGCUCUUCCGCGCUUUCCUACGCUUUCGCAAGUACGGCUGUGCCAUGAGCGUCAAUUCCAUCCGCUGUUUGUUCGAGUCCUAUCGCCACAAUGACACCGCCGAGCUGAUGCUUCAGCUCGCGCAGGAGAUGAAGGAUGUUGCGGAGUUGCGGCCGCUCUGCAUCGCCGCAUACUUGUUUUCGAACAGCGAAGCUGAGGCGCAGGCUCUCUGCAAGGGCGUCUCGCUCACAGAGCUAGGGUCCGACGACGUUGUGGCGCUCAUCGCCGGGUACGAGAAGAUGAAGCGCGUCGACAAGCUCCAGGAAAUUCUCGACGUUGUCCCGACCAUGUCCACUGCCGAGACUCGAAUGGAGGUGUGCGCAGCGCUGUUUCGCGCCUUUUUCAAGCUGGACAGCGACGAAGGCUUCACACGGACGCUGCAGGUGGCUCUGGAACAGAAGAUGCCGCUCUCCGCUGAACUGUACGCUACGGUGCUGCGGCACAAGAUGCGGCACGUAACGAGCGUCGAGGAGAUCGCCGCCAUCGAGGAUGAGCUGAAGGAGCUCGGGUACGUGCCGGACGCAACGUGUGACUCUAUUGUCAUCACUGCGUACGCCCGCCUGCUGCACUUUGGGGACCGCGGCAGCGAGGAGCUCAUGCUUGCCAAGGUGGACACGCUGCUGUCAUCCAUCGAGUCCCGCCUCAAGCAAGGCGAUCCUGACAUGGACAUCAGCGCUGCCCACAUCCGGGCCGUCAUCCGCGGCUACGGGGCCGCCGGCCGUCCCGAAGCAAUAAAAGACGCAUGGCAGCGGAUGCAGUUCGGUCCCCUCACGAACGACGUGCGCAUCUACAAUGAGCUGCUCAAGUGGUUUGCGCUCAUGGGCAACGUCAAGGACGUGCUCGCCGUGAAGCGGGAGAUGGAGAGCAACGGGGUCAGCGCAGACGCUGUCACGUACACGUGGGUCUUUCGCGCUCUUGGCAAGUACUACCCGAGGCACGUGGAGGAGUACUACAAGGAAAUGCAGGAGCGGCAUGUUCGGCCUGACAUUCACCUCUACACCACGCUCCUAGGCAUCUUUGGCGACCUAGGGAGGAUGGACACUGUCGACGAGCUUAUGAUAGAGCUGCGGAGGCGUGAGGAGGCGGGCAGCGUCCAGUUCACGCCCAUCACGUUCGCCGUGCUCAUCCGCAUCCACGGCGGUGAUCUCGACAAGGCCAGAGCUCUCUACGCGGAGGCCCAGCAGCGCAACAUCAGCGAUCACCCGCACGUUCAGACAAGUAUGCUGCACACCCUCGCCGUCCACAAGGGCGCCACCGCCGCCGAUGUCGAGGAGUUCUUGAAAACGCUCCCUACCUGGAGCACGGACGUGUACAAUGUUCUCUUGCACAUGUACGGGAAGAGCAUGGACCGCGAGCGGUUUGACGCAACGCUGGAGAAGAUGAAGUCGCAAUCCGUCGAGAUGAACGACGUCACGUUUGGCACCCUCAUCACCGCGUUUGCCCGCUGGGGCGAGCGCGAGAAGGUGAACGAGGUGAUUCAGCUCCUCAAGUCCCACGACGGCGGCAUCUCCGCCACGUUUUACUCGGUGCUCGCCUCCUCUCUAAGCCGCAUGGGCAACGAGGAGGGUGUCGAGAACGCCUGGGAGGACCUCCUGGCCUCCCGCCUCUUCCCAGACACGGAGGUAUACAACCAGUUCCUGUCCCUCUAUAGCCGCCAGAACAACGUGUCUAAAAUGCAGGGCGUGCUUGACAACAUGAUGAAGCAAGUGCCCCCAAAUCCGGUCACUGCUACCACUGUUCUCGACAUGCUCGGCAAGUCGGGUCGCAUGUCGGAAAUGGAGUCCCUCUUCGACGAUAUGAAGUCGACCCCAGACACCGCGCCAACGUCCGUGACGUUUCAUCAGGUCAUGAACGCCUACGCGAAGACCGGCGAUGUGGUGAAGAUGGAGAAGGUGCACGAGGAGUUCCUGGAGAAGGGCUACACGGAGAACAACGUCACCUACAACAUUCUCAUGGACGGCCACGGGCGGGCGAAAGGAUAUGAGCAGAUGGAGGAGCUGCGCCAGAAGCGCAGCGCCGCCGGCAUCCCGAUGGACGACAUCACGUACUGCAUCAUGAUUGCCGCCUACGGCCGCUCCCGUCUCGACAAGGACGUUCAGCGUCUUUUCGAUGAAGUCACCAAGGAGGAGAACCGCCCGUUACUGACGAAGCGGGUGGUUUGGUCGGCGAUGGACGCAUUUUGCCGCUGCAACUCGACCGCUGGAAUGGAAAAGUGCGUAGAGCUGCUGCGCGCGCUCAACGGCGAGGGCGAGGCGCUCACCUCAUCCGACUACUGCGGUCUCAUACCCUACUACUGUCGCAUGGGUCAGAUGGAGAAAGUCGAGGACCUGGUGCGAUUCCUUCACGACAAAGGCGACGCUGAGGCGCUGACGUACAACGCCCUCAACGCCAUUGCACGCGGCUACGCCCGCACCGGCCGCUUUGAUAAGACGGUGGAGACGCUGCAUCAGAUUCGCGAUCGCAACUGGGUACCCGAUGCAGCGACAGCGCUGCAGCUUUCAGGGGCCUUCCUCAAAGCAGGUCUUCACGAGCAAGCGCAGCAGGUCAUCGAGUGGCGUCGACGCUACGCCAAAGUGGCGGGUAGCCCCGCCGCCGCCACCAUAAAGGAUAGUCAGAAUUAGGAUGCCUCGCGCGCGGCAAGCGGAAGAAGAGCAGGAAACCGCAGCGGCCUCGCCACAAGGUUAUCGGUGAUUUAGGGAGCCGGACCGCCGAGAAGGGACGAAGGACUCCGGUCCUCUAAGCGGUUGCCGGUGUGGCGGAAUCCAUUGUUCAUGUCAGCCGCAUCUACACAGUUUCCGAGCAAUUUCUCCUUCUAUGUUUCCUUUUUUCUCUUGGUGCAGGGAUAUCUUGUUCGCUGGAAGAAUAGCACGGUCUUUGUCGCGGCUGCACCUGGCUCGCCGGUGGCUGGCUCGUUUCCCUACAUGGACCUUACUCUACACAGAACGACGAGAGCUUUUGUAUGCGUUGACCCCGUGCCCCUCUCCUCCUUCCCGGAAAAUCCACGAAAGAAACC